GAUGAACGCUAGCUACAGGCUUAACACAUGCAAGUCGAGGGACCGGCGCACGGGUGAGUAACACGUAUCCAACCUGCCCUUUACUCGGGGAUAGCCUUUCGAAAGAAAGAUUAAUACCCGAUAUAAAGGAUGGGGAUACGUUCCAUUAGGUUGUUGUUGAGGUAACAGCUAACCAAGCCUUCGAUGGCUAGGGGGUAGGAGAGGAAGGUCCUCCACAUUUGACCUGAGACACGGUCCAAACACCUACGGGAGGCAGAAGUGAGGAAGAUUGGUAAAUGGGCGCUAGCCUGAACCAGCCAAGUAGCGUGAAGGAUGAAGGCGUAUGGGUGGUAAACUUCUUUUAUAUAAGAAUAUGUAUUAUAUGAAUAAGGAUCGGCUAACUCCGUGCCAGCAGCCGCGGUAAUUC
rnacentral:rRNA from 1 species